UACGAAGGGGGCUAGCGUUGUUCGGAAUUACUGGGCGUAAAGCGCGCGUAGGCGGUGAUCUUUGUCAGAGGUGAAAUCCCGAGGCUCAACUUCGGAAUUGCCUUUGAAACGGGAUCGCUUGAGUCCGAGAGAGGAUGGCGGAAUUCCUAAUGUAGAGGUGAAAUUCGUAGAUAUUAGGAAGAACACCGGUGGCGAAGGCGGCCAUCUGGCUCGGUACUGACGCUCAGGCGCGAAAGCGUGGGGAGCAAACAGG
rnacentral:rRNA from 1 species